rnacentral:rRNA from 1 species
AUGCUCCGGAAUGGAAACGAGGGAAUGUCCACAAUACCCGGAUUUAGUCAGAUCCAAUUCGAGGGAUUUUGUAGGUUCAUUAAUCAAGCCUUGGCAGAAGAACUUGACAAGUUUCCAACAAUUAAAGAUCCAGAUCACGAAAUUGCAUAUCAAUUAUUUGCGAAAGGAUAUCAAUUGCUAGAACCCUCGAUAAAAGAAAGAGAUGCUGUGUAUGAAUCACUCACCUAUUCUUCCGAAUUAUAUGUAUCUGCGAGAUUAAUUUUUGGUUUCGAUGUGCAAAAGCAAACCAUUUCUAUCGGAAACAUUCCUAUAAUGAAUUCCUUAGGAACCUUUAUUAUAAAUGGAAUAUACCGAAUUGUGAUCAAUCAAAUAUUGCUAAGUCCUGGUAUUUACUACCGCUCGGAAUUAGAUCAUAAGGGAAUUUCUAUCUACACUGGGACUAUAAUAUCAGAUUGGGGAGGGAGACCGGAAUUAGCAAUUGAUAAAAAAGAAAGGAUAUGGGCUCGCGUGAGUAGAAAACAAAAGAUAUCUAUUCUAGUUCUAUCAUCAGCUAUGGGUUCGAAUCUAAGAGAAAUUCUAGAUAAUGUUUCCUACCCUGAAAUUUUCUUGUCUUUCCCGAAUGCUAAGGAGAAGAAGAGGAUUGAGUCAAAAGAAAAAGCUAUUUUGGAGUUUUAUCAACAAUUUGCUUGUGUAGGUGGGGACCUGGUAUUUUCGGAGUCCUUAUGCGAGGAAUUACAAAAGAAAUUUUUUCAACAAAAAUGUGAAUUAGGAAGGAUUGGUCGACGAAAUAUGAAUCGGAGACUUAAUCUUGAUAUACCUCAGAACAAUACAUUCUUGUUACCACGAGAUGUAUUGGCCGCUACGGAUCAUUUGAUUGGAAUGAAAUUUGGAACGGGUAUACUUGACGAUGACGAUAUGAAUCACGUGAAAAAUAAACGUAUUCGUUCGGUUGCGGAUCUGUUACAAGAUCAAUUCGGAUUGGCUCUUGGUCGUUUACAACAUGCAGUUCAAAAAACUAUUCGUAGAGUAUUCAUACGUCAAUCGAAACCGACUCCCCAAACUUUGGUAACUCCAACUUCAACUUCAAUUUUAUUAAUAACUACUUAUGAGACCUUUUUUGGCACAUACCCGUUAUCUCAAGUUUUUGAUCAAACGAAUCCAUUGACACAAACUGUUCAUGGGCGAAAAGUGAGUUGUUUAGGUCCUGGAGGGUUGACGGGGAGAACCGCAAGUUUUCGGAGCCGAGAUAUUCAUCCGAGUCACUAUGGGCGUAUUUGUCCAAUCGACACGUCUGAAGGAAUCAAUGUUGGACUUACUGGAUCCUUAGCAAGUCAUGCGAGAAUUGAUCACUUGUGGGGAUCCAUAGAGAGUCCGUUUUAUGAAAUAUCUGCUGAGAAAGCAAAAGAAAAAAAAGAGAGACAGGUGGUUUAUCUAUCACCAAAUAGAGAUGAAUAUUAUAUGAUAGCAGCAGGAAAUUCUUUGUCCUUGAAUCAAGGUAUUCAGGAAGAACAGGUUGUUCCGGCUAGAUACCGUCAAGAAUUCUUGACUAUUGCAUGGGAACAGAUUCAUGUUAGAAGUAUUUUUCCUUUCCAAUAUUUUUCUAUUGGGGGUUCUCUCAUUCCUUUUAUUGAGCACAAUGAUGCGAAUCGGGCUUUAAUGAGUUCUAAUAUGCAGCGCCAAGCAGUUCCGCUUUCUCGGUCCGAGAAAUGCAUUGUUGGAACUGGAUUGGAACGCCAUACAGCUCUAGAUUCGAGGGUUUCCAUUAUAGCCGAACGCGAGGGAAAGAUCAUUUCUACUGAUAGUCAUAAGAUACUUUUAUCAAGUAGUGGGAAGACUAUAAGUAUUCCUUUAGUUAACCACCGUCGCUCUAACAAAAAUACUUGUAUGCACCAAAAACCUCGGGUUCCACGGGGUAAAUCCAUUAAAAAAGGACAAAUUUUAGCAGAAGGAGCUGCUACAGUUGGGGGCGAACUUGCUUUAGGAAAAAACGUAUUAGUAGCUUAUAUGCCAUGGGAAGGUUACAAUUUUGAAGACGCAGUACUAAUUAGCGAACGUUUGGUAUAUGAAGAUAUUUAUACCUCUUUUCACAUCCGGAAAUAUGAAAUUCAGACGGAUACGACAAGCCAGGGCUCCGCUGAAAAAAUCACUAAAGAAAUACCACAUCUAGAAGAACAUUUACUCCGCAAUUUGGACAGAAAUGGAGUUGUUAGGUUGGGAUCGUGGGUAGAAACUGGUGAUAUUUUAGUAGGUAAAUUAACGCCUCAGAUAGCGAGCGAAUCAUCUUAUAUCGCGGAAGCUGGAUUAUUACGGGCCAUAUUUGGCCUUGAGGUUUCCACUUCAAAAGAAACUUCUCUGAAAUUACCUAUAGGUGGAAGAGGGCGCGUUAUCGAUGUGAAAUGGAUCCAAAGGGACCCGCUCGACAUAAUGGUUCGUGUAUAUAUUUUACAGAAACGUGAAAUCAAAGUUGGGGAUAAAGUAGCCGGAAGACAUGGGAAUAAAGGGAUCAUUUCCAAAAUUUUGCCUAGGCAAGAUAUGCCCUAUUUGCAAGAUGGAACACCCGUUGAUAUGGUCUUCAAUCCCUUAGGAGUACCCUCCCGAAUGAAUGUGGGACAAAUAUUUGAAAGCUCACUCGGAUUAGCGGGAGAUCUGCUAAAGAAACAUUAUAGAAUAGCACCCUUUGAUGAGAGAUAUGAGCAAGAGGCUUCAAGAAAACUUGUGUUUUCAGAAUUAUAUGAAGCCAGUAAAGAAACAAAAAAUCCAUGGGUAUUUGAACCCGAGUACCCGGGAAAAAGCAGAAUAUUUGAUGGAAGAACAGGCGACCCCUUUGAGCAACCUGUUCUAAUAGGGAAGUCCUAUAUCUUAAAAUUAAUUCAUCAAGUUGAUGAGAAAAUUCAUGGGCGUUCUACUGGGCCCUACUCACUUGUUACACAACAACCGGUUAGAGGAAGAGCCAAGCAAGGGGGACAACGAGUAGGAGAAAUGGAAGUUUGGGCUUUAGAAGGAUUUGGUGUUGCUCAUAUUUUACAAGAGAUACUUACUUAUAAAUCUGACCAUCUUAUAGCUCGCCAAGAAAUACUUAAUGCUACGAUCUGGGGAAAAAGAAUACCUAAUCAUGAGGAUCCUCCAGAAUCUUUUCGAGUGCUCGUUCGAGAACUACGAUCUUUGGCUCUAGAACUGAAUCAUUUCCUUGUAUCUGAAAAGAACUUCCAGGUUAAUAGGGAGGAAGUUUGA